rnacentral:rRNA from 1 species
UGAACCAGCAACUUGGAAGAAUGUAAAGCAACAGCUGAUUGCACCAACUAAUAGUUGAUGCAAGAUUGACUAUGUCAAAUAAAAUUCUGGGUAGAACUAUGAUAAUGACAUAAUCUACCCAAGUCUUGACCAAUUUGCGUGCCAGCAGUCGCGGUAAUACGUAUAAGGCUAGUGUUAUUCAUAUUUAUUGGGUUUAAAGGGUACUUAGACGGUAGAUCAAGCCUUGCCAGGUACUAAUUUACUAGAGUUACUUACGAGGGGGUAUUAAAGUACUGCAGGUUUAGAGAUGAAAUUCUAUCAUACCUCUUUUCAAUAGAAAAAUUAUGGCACAGGUAUAGGUGAAAACAUCCCCUUAUGUGAUAACUGACGUUGAAGAACGAAGGCUUUGUGUAGCGAACAGGAUUAGAUACCCUAGUAGUCAAAGCAGAAAAUGAUGAAUGCCAUAGAUUAGAUAAAUAGUUUAUUCUAUAAAUGAAAGUGUAAGCAUUCCACCUCAAGAGUAAUUUGGCAACAUUGGAACUGAAAUCAUUAGACCGUUUCUGAAACCAGUAGUGAAGUAUGUCGUUUAAUUUGAUAAUCCGCAAAAAACCUUACCAUACGAAUAUGAAUAUUUAUAUAUAUCUUUUUCUUUCGUAAAAACAUGAAAUAAGAUAAUAUAUUUACAAGCGUUGCACGGCUGUCUUCAGUUAAUGUCGUGAGACUUUGGUUAGUUCCAUUAAAUUAACGUAAACCCUUAUUUUAUUUUUAUAUAAAGUAGUUCUCCACUAUAUUGGAUAUGAUAACAGGGACUAGGACAAGUCAUCAUGGCCUGAAUAUCGUGGGCUACGGACGUGCCACAUAAACCUUACAAAAGGGUGUGAAAUUGUGAAAUUGAGCUAAUCCCCCAAAAAUGGAU